UACGUAGGUGGCAAGCGUUGUCCAGAUUUAUUGGGUUUAAAGGGUGCGUAGGCGGCCCUGUAAGUCAGUGCUGAAAUAUCCCGGCUUAACCGGGAGGGUGGCAUUGAUACUGCGGGGCUAGAGUACAGAUGAGGUAGGCGGAAUUGACGGUGUAGCGGUGAAAUGCUUAGAUAUCGUCAAGAACACCUAUAGCGAAGGCAGCUUACUAGGCUGUAACUGACGCUGAGGCACGAAAGUGUGGGGAUCAAACAGG
rnacentral:rRNA from 1 species